CUGACAAGGAGAGCCAGGGCAGGGACAUGUCUGGACCAUAGUACAGGUCAAGUCUAAAAUCGGGCAAGGUCAUACCCAUAUGACAGUGCUCAGAGAAUUACGAGGUAACAGAGGUCAAAGGCCAUAAACUCAACUGAUAAACAGAAUGUGUGGCUGACCCAGGGAAUAAAGAAGCAAGCAGCAGGGGCUUUGGCCAAGGUGGUAUCAAUGCUGACCAAUUGGCAUUUCCAAUUCAAAAA
rnacentral:lncRNA from 1 species